GAUUAACGCUGGCGGCGUGCAUAACACAUGCAAGUCGAACGAAGUGGCGGACGGGUGAGUAACGCGUGAGUAACCUGCCUUAGAGAAGGGGAUAGCCUUUGGAAACGAAGACUAAUACCCUAUGCUCUAAGAUGGAGUUGCGUCUGAUUAGUUAGUUGGUUGGGUAACGGCCCACCAAGCCAGCGAUCAGUAGCCGGCUUUAGAGAGUGUACGGCCACAUUGGGACUGAUACACGGACCAGACUCUACGGGAGGCAGCAGUGGGGAAUGUUGCACAAUGGGUGAAACCCUGAUGCAGCGACGCCGCGUGAUUUAGAAGGCCUUCGGGUUGUAAAAAUCUUUUCUAUGGGAAGCAGUACCAUAGGAAUAAGGACCGGCUAAUUACGUGCCAGCAGCCGCGGUAAUAC
rnacentral:rRNA from 1 species